rnacentral:rRNA from 1 species
UACGUAGGGGUCGAGCGUUGUCCGGAGUUACUGGGCGUAAAGCGCAUGCAGGCGGCUCAUUACGCAUGGCGUGAAAGCCCCCGGCUCAACCGGGGAGGGUCGUCGUGAACGGGUGAGCUUGAGGGUAUCAGGGGCUGGUGGAAUUCCCGGUGUAGUGGUGAAAUGCGUAGAGAUCGGGAGGAACACCUGUGGCGAAGGCGGCCAGCUGGGAUACACCUGACGCUGAGAUGCGAAGGCGUGGGGAGCGAACCGGAUUAGAUACCCGUGUAGU